UACGUAGGGGGCUAGCGUUGUCCGGAAUCAUUGGGCGUAAAGAGCGCGUAGGCGGUUUGUCGCGUCUGCUGUGAAAACCCGAGGCUCAACCUCGGGCCUGCAGUGGGUACGGGCAGACUAGAGUGCGGUAGGGGAGAUUGGAAUUCCUGGUGUAGCGGUGGAAUGCGCAGAUAUCAGGAGGAACACCGAUGGCGAAGGCAGAUCUCUGGGCCGUAACUGACGCUGAGGAGCGAAAGCAUGGGGAGCGAACAGG
rnacentral:rRNA from 1 species